CAGAGCUCUGCAUCCUUAGUUUGGCCUUUGC
rnacentral:piRNA from 1 species